UCGGGAAUUUUGGGCAAUGGGCGAAAGCCUGACCCAGCAACGCCGCGUGAGGGAUGAAGUAUUUCGGUAUGUAAACCUCGAAAGAAUGGGAAGAAUAAAUGACGGUACCAUUUAUAAGCUCCGGCUAACUACGUGCCAGCAGCCGCGGUAAUACGUAGGGAGCAAGCGUUGUUCGGAUUUACUGGGCGUAAAGGGCGCGUAGGCGGCGCGGUAAGUCACUUGUGAAAUCUCUGAGCUUAACUCAGAACGGCCAAGUGAUACUGCUGUGCUAGAUUGCGGAAGAGGCAACCGGAAUUCUUGGUGUAGCGGUGAAAUGCGUAGACAUCAAGAGGAACACCUGAGGCGAAGGCGGGUUGCUGGGCCGACACUGACGCUGAUGCGCGAAAGCCAGGGGAGCAAACG
rnacentral:rRNA from 1 species